rnacentral:rRNA from 1 species
GUCGCGUCGGGUGUGAAAACUUGCGGCUUAACCGCAAGCCUGCACCCGAUACGGGCGGGCUAGAGUUCGGCAGGGGAGACUGGAAUUCCUGGUGUAGCGGUGGAAUGCGCAGAUAUCAGGAGGAACACCGGUGGCGAAGGCGGGUCUCUGGGCCGAUACUGACGCUGAGAAGCGAAAGCGUGGGGAGCGAACAGGAUUAGAUACCCUGGUAGUCCACGCCGUAAACGUUGGGAACUAGGUGUGGGGUCCAUUCCACGGGCUCUGUGCCGCAGCUAACGCAUUAAGUUCCCCGCCUGGGGAGUACGGCCGCAAGGCUAAAACUCAAAGGAAUUGACGGGGGCCCGCACAAGCGGCGGAGCAUGUGGCUUAAUUCGAUGCAACGCGAAGAACCUUACCUGGGCUUGACAUGUUCGGUCUACCUGCAGAGAUGUGGGGUGCUUUUGCGCCGUUCACAGGUGGUGCAUGGUUGUCGUCAGCUCGUGUCGUGAGAUGUUGGGUUAAGUCCCGCAACGAGCGCAACCCUCGUUCCAUGUU